rnacentral:rRNA from 1 species
UACGGAGGGGACUAGCGUUGUUCGGAAUUACUGGGCGUAAAGCGCGCGUAGGCGGAUUUGCAAGUCGGGGGUGAAAGCCCGAGGCUCAACCUCGGAACUGCCCUCGAUACUGCAAAUCUCGAGUCCGAGAGAGGUGAGUGGAAUUCCUAGUGUAGAGGUGAAAUUCGUAGAUAUUAGGAAGAACACCAGUGGCGAAGGCGGCUCACUGGCUCGGUACUGACGCUGAGGCGCGAAAGCGUGGGAGCAAACAGG